rnacentral:rRNA from 1 species
GACGUAGGGCGCGAGCGUUGUCCGGAUUUAUUGGGCGUAAAGAGCUCGUAGGCGGCUUGUCGCGUCGUUCGUGAAAACUCACAGCUCAACUGUGAGCUUGCGGUCGAUACGGGCAGGCUGGAGUUCGGUAGGGGAGACUGGAAUUCCUGGUGUAGCGGUGAAAUGCGCAGAUAUCAGGAAGAACACCCGUGGCGAAGGCGGUUCUCUGGGACGGUACUGACGCUGAGACGCGAAAGCGUGGGGAGCGAACAGG